ACAGUGGACGCGAGCAUCUGUGGCCAAGUUUUUAAGGGCGCACGGUGGAUGCCUUGGCACCAG
rnacentral:rRNA from 10 species